rnacentral:misc_RNA from 1 species
UGGGAGGGGGGCUUGCUCCCGAUGGCGGUGGAACAGUCAGCUCAUCUGUAGCUGACGCUCUGCCAUCGGGAGCAAGCCCCCUCCCAC